GACGAACGCUGGCGGCGUGCCUAACACAUGCAAGUCGUACGGGCUUGGGGGGCAACUCUCAAGUCAGUGGCGGACGGGUGCGUAACACGUGAGCAACUUGCCCUACGGUGGGGGGAUAGCCGGCCCAACGGCCGGGUAAUACCGCGUAAUGCGUUGGGGUCGCAUGGCCCUGGCGUGAAAGCGGCCGCAAGGUCGCGCCGAAGGAGGGGCUCGCGGCGUAUCAGCUAGUUGGCGGGGUAACGGCCCACCAAGGCUACGACGCGUAGCUGGUCUGAGAGGAUGGACA
rnacentral:rRNA from 1 species